rnacentral:misc_RNA from 1 species
CUAGUUGAAGCCGAACCACUAUAAAAAUUUCAGUGUUCAUUUUCUUAACCCUUGCUCUUUACAUUUAUGCAUUUUAACUUUAUGAUUGAUAUGUUUUUGUUGACAUGAAAGUUGAGGCCAUUUGCUGUUAAUCUUGCUGCAAUCUGAGAAAAUCAGUUUACUGCUAAAUCUGCUUUUGCUGCUAAUUUGUUGAUAUCUGAUAUAUUCUGCUGGUUACCUGUUGUGCUGUCAGAUAGGAUAUUUGGUAUACUGCUCUGGUUGCUGUGUUAAAAACGUAUUCAGAUUACUGAUAUAUUUACUGAAUGCUUAUAUAGUCUGUUAUAUCAGUAUACUGAUUGCAUAUAGCUUAACCUUGAGUCAACUUGUCAAUAGAGCUAUAUUGUUCAUUUUUCACAUUAGUUAAUUU